rnacentral:lncRNA from 1 species
GGCCUGGCUUAGCAGAACAUCUCAACUCUGCCAACUUACUCUACGGUAUUCUUCUCCUUGUUAAAUUUAAAGAAAGUAGCCACCAUGGGUCCUACAGCCACAAGGAAAUACCUCCUGCCAACAUUCUGACUGAGCUUGGAAGUGGAUUCUUGCCCAGUUCAGCCUCCAGAAGAGAACCCAGUUCUGGCUGACAUCUUAAUGGCAGCUGUGCCGAGAACUCAACUAGACUGUGCCCAGACACCUGUCCCAAAGAAACUGCGAGCUGAUAAAGGCCAUUCAGUAAACAAUAUUGAACUGGUGAAACUGUAAUCAUAUCUGGGACCUGCUGCACCUCAGGCUGUUCUCCGCUAAGGAACAGUCAACUGGUAAGGAAAAAAAGAUGCCUCAAGUAAGCAUGCACAUAACUUCAGUAAACACACUGCACAUGCGGCCUCUCCCAAGUGCCGGCAGGCUGCUGCACAUGCGGACAGUCCACCCCAAAGGAAGAAUCAGGGGAGAAGCAACAACCCCCGAGAAGCCUGCCAACAUAUAAAACUCCAAGUCAAAGGUCAAACCGUGUGCUUGAAUCUCUCAAGCUGCCCAUCUGGCCCUCUUCCAAGUGUACUUUACUUCCUUUAAUUCCUGCUCUAAAACUUUUAA